UCGAGUUUUCAACUCCCAAACCCAAAUGUGAACAUACCUAUCGUUGCUUCGGCGGACUCGUCCCGGUGUCCGGUCGACCUCGCGUCGGCCGCGGCCCGGACCCAGGCGGCCGCCGGAGACCACAAACUCUUGUAUCAGUCAGUUUUUCUGAAUCCGCCGCAAGGCAAAACAAAUGAAUCA
rnacentral:misc_RNA from 1 species